AAAAUGCAUAUUGAAAAUAAGGCAGCCUUCUGGCCCCUCUGGGUCUAGGGUGGUAAAGCAUCUAAGGGUUGUUGUCAAACAGGCCUUGAACUGGGUUGAGUUUUUGUAUUUGAUGAAAAAGAACCCAAAUGCUAACUGAUUUGGGAGAGGUCAGAUAAAGAAAAGAGGAGCAUUAACCUUGAUUAUGCCUUUAGCUCCAGCCACCUCUUUAAGAGGAAAUUGUUGGGCAGGUCGGGGAGGGCUAGUCAUGGAACAAAACUGUAAGCCAGACUGGGUGUGGGGAAGGGAGGUGAUAGAAGGAUUAUAGGGUGGGGAAGCAGAGGCUGAGGAAGAAUUGGGACCUGGCUUGGCCUGGCAAGGAGCAGCCUGGGGAGGAGGGGAGAGAGGUCAGAUGGGUCCCUAGAAAAGGAAGAUCUCCACAAUUGACUUGCCACCAAGGGAAUGUGGAUGAAUGACCAAGGCAGGCGUCCCCACGGAGAUCAGACACCAAUGGAACGUGGGUGAAUAAUCAGAGAGGCGUCCCCGCAAUGAUUAAACACUAAGGGAAGUCUGCCUUCCUGAGUCCGUGACUGGCGCCGGAGUUUUGGGUCAACGGAUAAAAUAUGUCUCCUUUGUCUCCACCAGAAAA
rnacentral:lncRNA from 1 species